AGUGCUAUACUAUGGCUGAUGAAUGCUUUGGGAGCACUAGGUUGCAGGUUCGAAUCCUGUCGCCCCGACCA
rnacentral:tRNA from 1 species